GACGAACGCUGGCGGCGUGCUUAACACAUGCAAGUCGAACGGUAAGGCCCUUCGGGGUACACGAGUGGCGAACGGGUGAGUAACACGUGGGUGAUCUGCCCUGCACUCCGGGAUAAGCCUGGGAAACUGGGUCUAAUACCGGAUAGGACCACUGCCUGCAUGGGUGGUGGUGGAAAGCUUUUGCGGUGUGGGAUGGGCCCGCGGCCUAUCAGCUUGUUGGUGGGGUGAUGGCCUACCAAGGCGACGACGGGUAGCGGGCCUGAGAGGGUGACCGGCCACACUGGGACUGAGAUACGGCCCAGACUCCUACGGGAGGCAGCAGUGGGGAAUAUUGCACAAUGGGCGCAAGCCUGAUGCAGCGACGCCGCGUGAGGGUUGACGGCCUUCGGGUUGUAAACCUCUUUCAGCACCGACGAAGCGCAAGUGACGGUAGGUGCAGAAGAAGGACCGGCCAACUACGUGCCAGCCGCCGCGGUAA
rnacentral:rRNA from 1 species